rnacentral:rRNA from 1 species
GACGAACGCUGGCGGCGUGCUUAACACAUGCAAGUCGAACGGAAAGGCCCUGCUUUUGUGGGGUGCUCGAGUGGCGAACGGGGGAGUAACACGUGAGUAACCUGCCCUUGACUUUGGGAUAACUUCAGGAAACUGGGGCUAAUACCGGAUAGGAGCUCCUGCUGCAUGGUGGGGGUUGGAAAGUUUCGGCGGUUGGGGAUGGACUCGCGGCUUAUCAGCUUGUUGGUGGGGUAGGGGCUUACCAAGGCUUUGACGGGUAGCCGGCCUGAGAGGGUGACCGGCCACCUUGCGACUGAGAUACGGCCCAGACUCCUACGGGAGGCAACAGUGGGGAAUAUUGCACAAUGGGCGGAAGCCUGAUGCAGCAACGCCGCGUGCGGGAUGACGGCCUUCGGGUUGUAAACCGCUUUCGCCUGUGACGAAGCGUGAGUGACGGUAAUGGGUAAAGAAGCACCGGCUAACUACGUG